CGUGUCACCAUAAUCAAAACCGUAAACAACUAUGUAUAGCCUUUAGCCACAAAACGAGCCUUAGAGUUGAUCAACUUGAACAGCAAGCCCAACUUUGAUUGUGAAAAUCCAACGACAACAUGCAACUGUUAUAAAGAGAAUUCAUCUCAUCAAUCAUAGCUCGUCUCCAACAAGAGUGAGAUAACACAUCACCAACAGUUUUAGGGGACAUGGCAAGAGGAGAGGGAGGAGUUGGUUCAUGAGGAUAGUUAGCAACAGUCUCAUGAUUGGCUGGUGGUGGUAGAAUAGGUCGUGGUUUGAAGAUAGAUUAGGAUAUUAUGGUUUCCCAAUUACAAUAUGCAUAUGAUAUGAUAUGAUAUUGUUUUCAGGAAAAGCAUA
rnacentral:lncRNA from 1 species